GCGACUGAUUCCUCGCCAGCUGCUGCCAAUCAUCCACCAUCGUUGGCAGAGCUAUUUAAUGGUGUGGCUGAGUGACAGACAGCCCUGGAGUAUUCCACCAAGCCUGGUAGUGACUCAAGCUCAGAGAAUGUAAGAUAGCGAAGGAAGUCUAAUCGCGUCUGUUUGCCUUUUUUGCACUAAACGAACGAGACGGAGAGACGGGAGGAGAGAUGUCACUAUUCACAAGAGUUGUGUGGACAUACGAGGGGAGCACUGAAGGGACUUUGCACUGUGGAUAACUGUGGAGUGGCUUCACUCUAAAUAAAGACACUGUUCAACUUUAACGAGAGGUCCGCGUCUGGGUUCACUAACUCACCACCCUUAACAGGAGGACUUGUAAGAAUGAAUGAUGCUGCGAAGCAUGAAAAUGCCAUUGGGUCUGCAGUGGUGGUUUACAGUCACGUCACAUGACAGCGUAACACCUAAACACAAGAGGGGGGAGGAGGAGCAAAGUCUGCCUGCUUUUCGCUGACACGGAAGCAGCGAAUCCGGCGACCUGGCUGUUUCGUCUUUGCCGAAUGCACAGCAUUGCAAACAAGAGCAGUAAGUAAAGGAUCAAUUUCACCAGGCUAGAAUCAAUCUGAUACCGAUGCCGAAUUGGUAUCAAUUAAUAACGUGAUAAUUAAUGUGAUAUUGAUUCAUUAAAUCCUGAAUCGAUUUCUAAAUAUAAAUGUAUUUUGCCAGAAACGCAGGGAGCUCACAAAACUAUUUCAAUAACCACUAGGUGGCGCUAUCACUUGGUGUUCGCUCGCUCUCUGGUGAAGAGCCUGAGGCCGGUGACACUCCAGUUCUACUCUAAGUACAUCCUUACAGUGGCUCACAGGACAAGGCGACAUUCCUGUCCUGCCAGAAGAGAAACUUCAGAGUCUUCAUGAAGUUCAACCACACCUGUCAUAUUCCAUAUGACAGAGGUCUCAAACUCCAUUCCUCGAAGGUCGGUGUCAUGCAACUUUUCCAUGCCCUCGAGGACUGGAGUUUGAGACCCCUGCUGUAUGGUGUUCAUGCAGUUUUCUACCCCACAGUUACAGCAUGUCUGACUGCCUGUUCAGCAUAUGCAAAAAUAUAUGAUGAGUUUAAGCAUGUGAUGACUAAGGCCUUCCAUUAUGGUGUUUGUCAUCACAUGUCACAGACAUCUGGAUGAUCAUUUGGAAUAAACAAAAAAACAAAAAACUUGUUACUUCAUCUUUUAUCUUUAUUAUUAUUAUUGUUCUUAUUUUACAUUUUUCAUUGUUAGGCAUUGGGUUUAUUUGUAGUGGUCCUUUCCAGCUUCUUUCCCUCUUCCAUGUUACUGUGUCAGCUUGUCAGCAUCUAUUUGGGGUUGGGAGUGGAACAGGAAGUAAGGAACAAAGUGCCAUUUAAACCAGGAGAGGUUCUUAUAUUUCAGAAGAAGGGAUUAAUUCAAAAGAAAUGACCUCAAUGCCAUAUUUUAUUUAGGAACCCUAGAGAGCACUUUGCAAAAUAACACAUUCUUAUAAUUUCACCCUCAGAUGAGCCAAGCUAUGACUGUCAGGGAAGGUGAUGUAGGUACAGAGCGUGUGAGAGUGGUUAAGUUAAUGUCUCUUGUCUAGAUGAAGGCACAGGAGGGAUCAAUGGCACGGCGUAGAGAUUCAGUAUCUUCAGUCUUCAGUGGACACUCCAUUUCUGGCACAAAACACCUGUAAAAGAUGGUCGAUUUAGGAGGUGACCCGACAACUUCAGCCUGUCAAACAUAGCAAUGGAGCAGUAUGUUUAAAAAAAAAAAAAAAUUAAUUAAGCAUGCACUCAGUACCCUAAGAAUUAUUAUGAUAGUUAAACACAGUGAUAGUCACAUAUCAUAUCACUUCAAACGGAGGUGAUCCAGUAAUGCUGCACUAAUGAAUUAGAC
ensembl:lncRNA